UAAGGCAUGCAAGUCGAACGGUUGUAGCAAUACAGCAGUGGCGAACGGGUUAGUAACACGUAGAUAUCAACCCUCUACUCGGGCAUAACUUGGAGAAAUCCAAGCUAAUUCCCGAUGGUCCGGAAACGGUAAAGAUUUUCGGUAGAGGAUGAGUCUGCGUCCUAUCAGCUAGUUGGUGAGGUAAUAGCUCACCAAGGCUAUGACGGGUAGGCGGAGUGAGAGCUUGACCGCCAACAAUGGCACUGAGACAUGGGCCAUACUCC
rnacentral:rRNA from 1 species